rnacentral:rRNA from 1 species
CUAGCCCUACGGGGGGCAGCAGUAGGGAAUCUUCCACAAUGGGCGAAAGCCUGAUGGAACAACGCCGCGUGGGUGAAGAAGGUCUUCGGAUCGUAAAACCCUGUUGUUAGAGAAGAAAGUGCGUGAGAGAAACUGUUCACGUUUCGACGGUAUCUAACCAGAAAGCAACGGCUAACUACGUGCCAGCAGCCGCGGUAAUACGUAGGUGGCAAGCGUUAUCCGGAUUUAUUGGGCGUAAAGGGAACGCAGGCGGUUUUUUAAGUUUGAUGUGAAAGCCUUGGGCUUAACCGGGGAAGUGCAUUGGA